CCUACGGGUGGCUGCAGUGAGGGAUAUUGGUCAAUGGGCGGAAGCCUGAACCAGCCAAGUCGCGUGAGGGAUUAAGGCCCUGCGGGUCUUAAACCUCUUUGGCCGGGGAGCAGAGGUCCGGACGUGUCCGGGCCGGGAGAGUACCCGUAGAAAAAGCAUCGGCAAACUCCGUGCCAGCAGCCGCGGUAAUACGGAGGAUGCGAGCGUUAUCCGGAUUUAUGGGGUUAAAAGGGUGCGUAGGCGGGCAUUUAAGCCGGCGGUCAAAUGUCGGGGAUCAACCCCGGCCUGCCGUCGGAACUGGGUGCCUUGAGUGGGCGAGAAGUAUGCGGAAUGCGUGGUGUAGCGGUGAAAUGCAUAGAGAUCACGAAGAACCCCGAUUGCGAAGGCAGCAUACCGGCGCCUUACUGACGCUGAGGCACGAAAGUGCGGGUAUCGAACAGGAUUAGAUACCCCUGUAGUC
rnacentral:rRNA from 1 species